rnacentral:rRNA from 1 species
AGAAUCAACGCUGGCGGCGUGCCUAACACAUGCAAGUCGAACGAGAAAGUGGAGCAAUCCAUGAGUAAAGUGGCGACCGGGUGAGUAACACGUGACUAACCUACCUUCGAGUGGGGAAUAACCUCGGGAAACCGGGGCUAAUACCGCAUAAUGUCUUCGGACCAAAGGAGCAAUUCGCUGGAAGAGGGGGUCGCGGCCGAUUAGCUAGUUGGCGGGGUAACGGCCCACCAAGGCAAUGAUCGGUAG